GGUGAUUUUGGAGCUUGUGGAUAGGGGUGGAAAUGGGACGAGCCGAGCCGAGCUUUAAAAAAUUAGGCCUGGGCCUGUUACGAAAAUCUAAUGCCU